rnacentral:rRNA from 1 species
AUUGAACGCUGGCGGCAGGCCUAACACAUGCCAGUCGAGCGGAUGAAGGGAGCUUGCUCCUGGAUUCAGCGGCGGACGGGUGAGUAAUGCCUAGGAAUCUGCCUGGUAGUGGGGGAUAACGUCCGGAAACGGGCGCUAAUACCGCAUACGUCCUGAGGGAGAAAGUGGGGGAUCUUCGGACCUCACGCUAUCAGAUGAGCCUAGGUCGGAUUAGCUAGUUGGUGGGGUAAAGGCCUACCAAGGCGACGAUCCGUAACUGGUCUGAGAGGAUGAUCAGUCACACUGGAACUGAGGCACGGUCCAGACUCCUACGGGAGGCAGCAGUGGGGAAUAUUGGACAAUGGGCGAAAGCCUGAUCCAGCCAUGCCGCGUGUGUGAAGAAGGUCUUCGGAUUGUAAAGCACUUUAAGUUGGGAGGAAGGGCAGUAAGUUAAUACCUUGCUGUUUUGACGUUACCAACAGAAUAAGCACCGGCUAACUUCGUG